ensembl:lncRNA
AUGAAAACCCUGGCUGCAGGCCCUGAGCAGGGCUGUGCUGCAGCUCUGCAUUUCUCUUGUCUCCCAUCUCUUGUGCUUGGUCCUCAAAGGCACUCUCCUGUGGGUGGUCAGGCCCUGCUGGAGUCUCAGGUUCUUAUCUGCUUCAGGCCAUGUGCAGCCCAGGCUGCAGUCUCAGAGUAUGGUGCUUUUUCUUUGAAGUUGCAACCUGAGCCACUUUCCAUAAAGAGAUGGUCAAUUCUCAAAGAACCUGGAACAAGUUUUACAACAACGUCAGUGGUAAAGUGUUUCUACAGUAGACCCGGUCUCAAGAUUUGUAAACCUUUUCUUUCACUGACUCAUGCACUUACUCUCAUCAAAAAGAGGUGAUCUGAGACAACCAGCAUGGCUUCACCAAGGGCAGAUCGUGCUUGACCAGUCUGAUGGCCUUCUAGGAUAGAGUGAUGUCUACUUCUGUGGAGAUAUCCAAGGCUUGGCAAGAUACCUACCUGAGUGACCUACUGUAGCAUACCUGCUGUAGCAUGGGGGCUGGACUCAAUUGACUUCAGGUCAAUUCCAACCCCUGUGGUUUUGUGAUUUUGUGAAGUUUUUAGCCUGCCAAGAGAUGCAGACCUGGGAUGAACUACAGAAGAAUAGUGCAGUGAGGUUGAGUGCAUAAGAAGAGAAAGAGUUGGCAUGAAGCUCGAUAUGAAGCAUUAAAAUGCAGCUGUCUCCAGGAACUUGAGAAGGGACUUGCUGGCUCUGCGUUUUUGCUGUUUUCCAGAUUAUUUAAACACAUUAAGUAAACACCAAAGAUUUAAAUAGAUAUGAGCAUGCUGCUCUACAGCUGCAAAUAUGUGCAUGUUGUAAAACACACCAGGGCAGAACAAGGAAGCCACAGGUUUCAGUAACUCAGGGUGAUCUUCAUAUCCUGCCGAUGGGAGUUGGCCAGUUUUUUUCUGAGGAAAACCAGUCCUACGGAAUCGGUCCAGUUCCCAGCAGCUGUCACGUAAACUUCUGAAGACAUCUACUUUCACAACCACAUCAGGUGUUCCACACCAAUCAUAUCUCUCCAUAUUUGAUUAUUCCAUUCUUUUUCCUUGAUUUUCCAAACAGACAGAAAGAGAAGUAAUCCCUUAUACACCCUGGUGGAAACUCUCAGUAAUUGACAGCGCCACAGAGUGGGUAAGCAGCGUCUCCUUCCUUAGCUUUGAGUUCAACUACAAGCAGUUGAAUGGAACAGCAAUCUAACACAGGUCUGCACAUAAAGGUAUAACCAAAAGGUGACAUAGAUCAUCCAAAUUUCAUCAUCAAAAUUUCUAAUUAGAGGCGUCACUUUUUAAAAUAUCUUCUUGUGUGACAGUGUCUUUGCGUGGCAGGCUUUGACUUUUUGUGGCUGGAGAUUUUACACGUCAGUAAGCUCAGAUUUGGUGGACAAAAAAUGAUUCUGGCACACAGGAAAUACAGAAGUGAGAAAACCUUGCUAUGGCAUCCUCUCUCAUGAAAAAAAAGCCAAUAAUAGUCAUCUGGUUUUCAAACAGACUGCCCAAAAAUAUGAAAACUUGUCCCAACCAAGGCAUGUUCCAAUCCCAAGAACCAGAGUUAAAGUAUGAUCUGCAAAGUUACCAGCUCUUCACUUGAAAUCUUCUAUUAUUCUCUUCUACUCAUUUGAUGGCUUUAUGAAACUUCUUAUGGGUAUCAGUAUUAACAGUUCACUUAAACUUGAUUUGUGUCUCCGUAUGAAGGACAGUGAAGACAAGUAUAAAAGCUGACUUAAUUGCAUUGCGGAAGUCCUGCCCAGGUGGCACCGAGAAAAGGCCAAAUCUCUAAAAGGCAACAUUCCCAGAUAGAUAUAGCUUAGAGAAUGUAAAACAAAAGAGGAAAAAAAAAUUAUCUUUAGCGGAACAUUUAUACAGUAGGCUCAGAACUUUAGUUGUCUUGUCAGCUUUUUUAAACCAUUCCUGACCAAAAGGAAAUAAAUAAAGAAAUAAAUAGUAACUGACA